GGCUAUAAAAGCAGAUUCCCCUCGUCUCUCCCUUCACACAAACACAGCUCUGUGUUACUGUCCCCUUCUUCUAGGGUUAUAUGUGAUGAGAGGUCCAAGGGUGCUGUGGAGCUGCAAGUUUACUCGUGGUGUCAGUACAACUAUCUGAUCUAUAUAUCCAGGUUUUGCAUUUGGGGCAGUAAACUGGAGGCAGCAACUGCAUAACUUGCGAGAUGCUCGUUGGAUGAUGAUCAUGCUGAUGAUUUUGCCGCAAGUUAUGCAGUUGCUGCCUCAAGCUUGCUGCCCCCAAUGCCAAACCAGUGAGACUUAAGAUGAAGAAGUUGGAUCACGAGAGAACAUCUGUAUCCAUGCCUUGAAGAUUGAAAUCGUUAUCACAGAGAAAAGCAAUCUAUCAUUUUACUACUGCAACUCUGCAAGGUAGCAGAACAGUUCACUGUAUAAUCUGACUGUAUGUUCACCGUUGGGAGCAAAUUUCAAAUGCUGAUUCUCACAAUCAAAUAAUCAAAUUUAUUUGCUCGA